UACGUAGGCAGCGAGCGUUGUUCGGAUUUACUGGGCGUAAAGGGCGCGUAGGCGGCCUUGUCAGUCAGGCGUGAAAGCCCCGGGCUCAACCUGGGAACGGCGCUUGGGACGGCGAGGCUGGAGUUCGGGAGAGGAGAGUGGAAUUCCCAGUGUAGAGGUGAAAUUCGUAGAUAUUGGGAAGAACACCGGUGGCGAAGGCGGCUCUCUGGACCGACACUGACGCUGAGGCGCGAAAGCGUGGGGAGCAAACAGG
rnacentral:rRNA from 1 species